rnacentral:misc_RNA from 1 species
GAUGAAAACGCAGUGAAAUGCGAUAAGUAAUGUGAAUUGCAGAAUUCCGUGAAUCAUCGAAUCUUUGAACGCACAUUGCGCCCUCUGGUAUUCCGGGGGGCAUGCCUGUCCGAGCGUCAUUUGCAACCCUCAAGCCCGGCUUGUGUGAUGGGUGCCGUCCCCUACGGGACGCGCCCCGAAGGCAAUGGCGGCGUCGCGGUUAUCCGAUCAGCCAAAGUGUAUGGGGCUUUGUCACUCACUUUACGGCCCGGACCGGCGCCAGUCCGAAUCAAUCUUUUUUCUAAAGUUGACCUCGGAUCAGGUAGGGAUACCCGCUGAACUUAAGCAUAUCAAUAAGCGGAGGA